AUUGAACGCUGGCGGCAGGCCUUACACAUGCAAGUCGAACGGCAGCACGGGAGCUUGCUGCUGGUGGCGAGUGGCGAACGGGUGAGUAAUACAUCGGAACAGGUCCUGUAGUGGGGGAGAGCCCGGCGAAAGCCGGAUUAAUACCGCAUACGAUCUACGGCUGAGAGCGGGGGACCUGCGGGCCCCGCGCUAGCGGGAUGGCCGAUGGCUGAUUAGCUAGUUGGAGGGGUAAAGGCCUACCAAGGCGACGAUCAGUAGCUGGUCUGAGAGGAAGACCAGCCACACUGGGACUGAGACACGGCCCAGACUCCUACGGGAGGCCGCAGUGGGGAAUUUUGGACAAUGGGCGAAAGCCUGAUCCAGCAAUGCCGCGUGUGUGAAGAAGGCCUUCGGGUUGUAAAGCACUUUUGUCCGGAAAGAAAUCCUUCGCCCUAAUACCGUCGGGUGAUGACGGUACCGGAAGAAUAAGCACCAGCUAACUACGUG
rnacentral:rRNA from 1 species